GACAGAGGGCCCGAGCGUUAGGCGGAAUCACUGGGCUUAAAGCGUGUGUAGGCGGAUUUGUAAGUACCUUGUGAAAUCCCACGGCUUAACCGUGGAACUGCUUGGUAUACUGCUUAUCUUGGGCCAUCUAGGGGCUACUGGAACAAACGGUGGAGCGGUGAAAUGCGUAGAUAUCGUUUGGAACGCCAAUGGUGAAAACAAGUAGCUGGGGAUGUGCCGACGCUGAGACACGAAAGCCAGGGGAGCAAACGGG
rnacentral:rRNA from 1 species